UUUUUCUCUUUCGCCGUCAUUGGUUUUGUAGCCACUGUUUCUCCGUCGUUUGCAAAAAAACCUUGAAUAUCUGUAUUUCUCGUUUCUUUUUUCCAAGUUCUUUUACUUCUUCACCUAUUUUCUUAGAUCUUAUUUGGUUAUUUAUACAUCUAUAUAGAUCUUUACUUUUCUAAUUGCAACUAUUAAAUCUAUUGUCGGUCCAUUAACUGACGAUGAUCUGUUUCUCUAAGUCUUUCUUAUUUUUUUUCUCUGUCUCUAGCUAUCUAUAUUGGUCGUUUCUUCUUUCCAGAUCCACUUAUGUCUUUACCUAUUUUCUUAGAUCUGGUUUGGACAUUCAAAAAUCUGCAUAGAUCUAUACUUUCGUGUUUGCAUGUUCAUAAGUUUUUUUGCGGGUCCAUUAACUGUUCACCCCCCUCGUAAUCCACAUCCAGCAAUACCAACCUUGUUCUGUCUCCACCUGUUCAUGUUUUUAGCAAUCCAACCGCUGACUUUCGCUAGGAACACACACGUUGCUCAAGCUUCCGAUAUAGCCAACAGCGGGAUGCUAGCGCUCUAUUUCUUGGAAGCUCAUGCGACUGGAGGCAUUUCCAAGGUUUACCUUGUCCAAGAGAGUGGUAUGCGCGAAAGAGCAGAGCAGCUAGCGGUUGAGAUGUACGAGCACGAGAAAUAAGUUUAGUAGGACAUGGAGAGGAUGCUGAUGAAGAAGGCGAGGAAAGCUUUGAGAUGGUGCAGAAGUUAAAGAAGGAUAACGAAAUGCUACGAAUAACUGUUCAAGCACUUGGAAGCCAAACGCGACGACGACGGGACUUUCUGAUCAUUUCUGGCAUAGGCUUCGUGUGUGGCAUGAUGACUAUAGUCUACGCAAUGAAGAAGUAACACAUAACCAUGUAAGACAACUACCCUUUGAAUCGUAUAAUUAUGUAUUGGGGAAUCGGAAUGUUUAUUUGUUUCAUAAAUGCUACUUUGUUUGGUAUCUUUGUAUUAUGAAAAUUUGGUAAAAUUAACAUUUUAUGUUUAUUCAAUAA